GGUAGGGUGGCUGAGUAAAGCGGUGGAUUGUAGCCCCACAUACAGAGGUUUGAGCCCUCUUCUUACCA
rnacentral:tRNA from 1 species